rnacentral:lncRNA from 10 species
AAAAAGGAAGCAGAAAGGCCAGGAGGACGAGCUUCACUGGAGGUGGGUAAGUUUUGUUUCAGACCUGUAGGGCUGAAAGUGUUGACGAACACCUGGGAGAAAAUGUCCAGUCACCGUCACUGCAAAUGCGGGUCCGACCUUCAGGAGAGGGAUUUGGACUGAAGAUGUGGGUAGGAGCACCCUCUCUUAGACAAGAAAAAUUGAGACUAAGAGGAGAUGAGAUCGCUGGGGGAUCAUAAUUAAGUAAAAACUUGUAUCUCUAAAAUCCGUCCUGACAUUUUCAUUUAUAGGAUAUACAUAUGUAUGUAUCUGUUAUAAUCUGAAAUGUGUCCCUCAAAAUUCAUAUUUGAAGCCCUAACCUCCUCAUACCUCAGACUGGGACUGUAUUUGGAGAUGAGGCCUUUAAAAAGAUAAUUAAGGUAAAACGAAGGCAUUAGAAUGGGCUCUAAUCCAAUAUGUCAGGAGUCCUUAUAGGAAGAGGAGAUGAGGACACAGACACCCACAGAGGGAAGACGGUGUGAGGACACAGGGAGAGGACACCAUCUGCAAGCCCAGGAGGGAGGCCUCAGGAGAAACCAAUCCCGCCCACACCUGGAUGUGGGGCUUCCAGCCCCCAGCACUGCGAGGGAAUAAAGCUCCGUUGUGGGACUGCUGUGUUGAGUUCCCGUCUCAGGCCUCACAUCCACCUUGGCCCUGCCUUGGGAGCCUGUAGGUGUGGGCAGAAAAGAGGGACGCUGCCUUCCUGGCUGGGCCUUUCUUCACACACAGGCACGAGGACCCAAGCUCUAAAGGAUGAAGUCCCCAUGGUCUCCGAAGUUUUCAUUAUCAUCCCCCUCCUAAAGCUCCACCUUGGAGGCAAUGCACUGUAACAAAAGGACCAGCACAGUGCCCAGCACACAGAAAGCUAUCAAUCAAUGUCAGCCUUAACCAUUAUGUUGGUUGACUUGCCAUCCCUCUUCCUCAACUGCAAACUAUGUGAGAGAAAGAUUCAUGUAACCUUGGUAUUACACAACUCCAUCGUGGUGGGUUCAGUUGCAUUUGUCAAAUGAUUCAGAGUAGGACAACGGGAAUUUUCUUUACAACAUCACAGCAUUGUAAAGUCUUUGCUUUGCACGAAAGUGUGGGACUGAAGAAAUGAUUGUGCAGGUUGAAACUGUGAAGCAAUUUUAAGAAGCAACAAGGAAAAUUAUGAUUGUUUCAUAAUCUUCAAAAAAUUUUUAAAGUGUUAAGAACUGUUUUACUACUGGUCGUAAAUGUAUAAGAACAUUUAAAGAUAGCAAAUUGAAUACUUAUUUAGCCUGUCAUAAUUUAAAAAAUGAGAAACAUUGAGAAAUAGUGUUUUAUUUCUUUGUAAAAGACUUAUGGAGAGUAAAUUGAAAAGGGCUUUGCCACCUUCUCAUUGUGAAACUUACAGUAUGGACCAGGCAUCUUUUCUAUGCCUUGGCAAAUUGUCACAUUCCUUUCUAUAUUUGGAUAGGCUUCCUACAUUUUGUCCUGCACACUUUCAGUGCUGUGAAAUAUCUCCAAGAGUUUCUUUAAUAUGAAGUUUUUGCCAGCAUCUUUAUCCUGAGUCCCUCAAAAGACACAUCCAGAAUCUCUCAAAAGACAACAGCAUCAACUUUCCCACCAUCAGCUCUUUCUUCUCUAAACUCGUUUACGUCUGAGUCAACUUUCACCUCCUGCAUUCUCACUUUUUGUUUCUUUGCUAUACUUUCCUCUUCAUUGGCUACCUACCUCUCUUGAGUAUUCAUUUCUGUGAAAUGUCACGUGGGUUUGUCACUGGGAGCCAAGAGAGCAGCACGACCACACGCUUUGCUGUCUGUGUGGGAACUGAUAACACGGAAGGACUGAAGGACGUGAUGCGGUUAAUCACUGAUCAUGAUGCACAUCUGUUAUUACGUGGUGGUCUGUGGACUGCAGAGCAAGCAGCAGAGGUUGUCCCCCAUGCAAUCACUCACAGUUAAUGGUGACUGAAAUUGGAACCAUGUUGUUAGGGGGCUGGUGUUAUUUAACCUCAGUUGCCACAGGGCAAUGAAAAUUCGUGCGUUUGGGAACUAUGCAAGGUGAGGACUGCCUGAAUGUUCCAUAAUGUGAUGAGUGCCUCACAAACAGGGUGUAUAUUAUCACUGAGUUUUUUCAUUAUUCUUGACCUUCAAUAUAUAGACAUUCUUGUUGAUGGUAUCAGGUUGUUUCUGCGUGAAUGAGCUUUACUCCUCUGAGAAAUGGCAUUCCUGACCCUCCUCUUUGAAUCAAUUGCACAAAAGUAUCUGAAGGAAAUUUGCUUACCUGCUGCUUUCUAUGGAAGCUUUCCUGCAGCAUGACCUAGUGUCUGUUUCUGGUUGAUGAUUAACCAUGGGGAACAAGCGUUUGAGAUAAAGAAGUUGCAGAACUUUUUAGAGAAUGUAAUAUGUUAAUGUGCACUGGGACUCUCCCUGAGCUAUAUCAAGUUUCCUGGAUUCUGAAAUGCUAUAAUUUUAAAAGUGUCAUAAGGUUAAAACAGCUUUCUAAGAAGUGCCUUUGUUGGAAGAAUACCCAGGAAUGGUGCGCUGGACAGCUUUUGUACAAGUCUUGCAUUUUCUCAGAACUAUCUCUCAUCUUGGCCAUGGCAUCAGUCACAUCCUGAGUGGCUCACCUUGACUUGGGUUGCCUCCUACUGCAGUUCUCCUAAACUCUGGUGGGGGACACGGGCACAACCCACCCAAUACUCGUAUGUGCUUUACCUGGAAAUAAGGAGCAGAGGAGCUAGGGGAAGGAGCCGAUGGCUAAAUGUUCCUGCCUUUUUUCCCUCAGGCAGACAGUUCUAAGGUGCACGCUGUAGGUUGCUGGGACAACCCUGGCAAGAUCUUCCCCCAGACAUCCACCUUGGCGGCCGACUUAUUAACUCAUUGGUCUAUUGACUUUUGCUCCUUGCCUCGCCCCUGAUCCCUGUGCCCUCUUUCUAAUAAGCUACCUGCUGGUGAGGCUCUGCCUUGGGGGAAACCCAGGCUGAGGCAGGUGGGAUGUUAUAACCAGGGAGGCCUGAGUCCUGGGUCUUUGCCUGGGGUCCCCAAAUAGGAGAGGGAUUGGAGGAGGUAUUGUGGGGGAGAGUGUUGCAAAAGCCCAGAGGAAAGGAGUGCUGUUACCACAACAGAGGAGACAUGAACCUGCACAGACCAAAAACAGGAGAGAGAGAGGGAAAGAGAAAGAGAAGGGGGAGAAAGAAAGGGAGAGACAGAGGAAGGGAGAGAUGGGGAAAGAGGAGAGGAGAAAGGGAGGGAGAGAAAGAAAGGAGAUGGAGAGAGAAAAGGGUGGGGAGAGAGAUAAAGAGAGAGGUAAAGAGAGAGAGAGAAUCAUCUACUACAUGAUUUCUUUUUUUUUUUUUUCUGAGAUGGAGUUUCGCUCUUGUUGCCCAGGCUGGAGUGCAGUGGCGUGAUCUCGGCUCACUGCAACCUCCAUCUCCCGGGUUCAAGCGAUUCUCCUACCUCAGCUUCCUGAGUAGCUGGGAUUACAGGUGCCUGCCACCACGCCCAGCUAAUUUUUGUAUUUUUGGUAGAGACGGGGUUUCACCGUGUUGACCAGGCUGGUCUCGAACUCCUGACCUCAGGUGAUCCGCCCGCCUCGGCCUCCCAAAGUGCUGGGAUUACAGGUGUGAGCCACCGCGCCUGGCCAUGAUUUUUUUUUUAACCUAUAAAAGCCUUGAGUAGUGAUGGACGCGAUUCCUAGUAAUGUGGUUUACUAAAGGGUCAGGCUGUCAGUUCACCACAAAUACGCCACAGUAGUGUUUGGUAUUCUCUCAAUGUUCCACCCACCAGAGCAUACAAAACAGCCACAUUCCCCAAACACUUAAUUCUCAAAACAUACUUGUAGAGGAGGGAAGCCUAUUACUCCCAUUAGAAAGAUGGAAAACCAAGGUGAAAUGAUUAACUGAGCUACCAGGGCCUCAGAAGAAAGUCGCUGCUGAGUUUGGGAUUGUGUUUUCAACUUCCUGCCCACUGUGGGUGAGCUCCACCUUUUACUGGAACCAACUCCAAGGAGGAAGUUUUGCUGGGUUUCCUGGAAGGCAGAGGUUUGCAUCUGCAUGCCCUGCGUGGAGGCAUUGUAUUUGGGGGCAGGCAGGAGAAUACUGUAGCUGGUGUGCCCACAGAAAGGGAGGGAGAGAAGCCACUGGGAGUGAGCUGGGCUUGGGAUCGGGCUGUGUCCUCACCAACUGUCUGCCCAGGCAUGAACUUGCCACUGCUGUGGAAGAGUCUGACUGCAUCCAAGAAUGCCAAAGGUUGUGGCUGAACUCACUUCUCAACAGACUUGGAUCAUGUUCAUAUACUAUUCUUUAAAAGAUCACCAUUUGUAGUAGAAUGUCAAAAACCCAAAGAUGUUGCUCCCGAUGUUGAGCUGUAACUAUUUUCUGUGUUGGUGGAAAAAUAUGAGAGAAUUAGUUGCCAUUCAUGAAUCUCAGUGAUACACAGACAAAAGCAUGCUUCAAUUUUGUUUCUUUGUUUUUGAGUGGUUCUGAUUUAUUUUCAGCUUUUGGGUGAUGUCUGGGGCUGUUUAUUGAGGACGGGAUAAAUGGGGGGGGGACCAAAAUAUAUUUGGCAUUUAUUGGUGGUGUUUUAUAUUUGUGACUUGAUUUACUUCUUAUCACAACCCAGUGAGACACGUACUAUUAUCAUCCUUUUAAUAGAUGAGCAGCCUGGAGCUUAGAGAGGUUAGGUAGCAUGGACAUCAUCAGGCAAGUUAAAUGAGAAAGCCGCCACCCAUUCCCAGCUGGGGCUGACCCCAGCGCCUGUGUUAUUUCUGUUGCCCUGAGCCUCCCCAGGCUUCUUAACCCACAUGUACUCCUAGCUUCCAGCAGUGCUAAUUUACACCGUGUACCAGCUGGAGACAUUCUGGAGUGUAGACUGACGCAAUAAUCCCCAAUGAUAGGUUUGCCAUGUUUUUUUUAAAUGUGUUUUUUCCUACUUUUUAUUAUAGAUGUCAGAAUUUUCUCCUUCCCUGAGUUAUCUUUGGACUUAGAUGUAUAUAAAUGUAUCUGGUUGGAGGUGGGGGGAAAAGUGGAAGUGGAAGACCACAAAAGUAAAAAUUACAUUUGAGUGUAUUUCACCGAUUCUAAGAGGAAUGCUUUCUUCUGCUCCAACCACUCUGAAAUCUCCGGGUCCCAUACUCCCAUCGCAGCUGUGUGACAUGGUUGCCGUGGCCUUUGUGUGAACAUCAAAGCUCAGAGGAUGGGUGUCAGAGGCUUAGAUGAAAAUCCUGAAGACAAUUGUCUGGCACUUUUCAAAGCUAUACGGCCUCACCAAAACCCUCCUGGAAGCUCUUGAUGGCUCGAGGUUCAACAGUGUCUGGGAAGACAUGGAUAUAAAAGAUCCAGAAUCAAAGAGUGAUUCCAAAGAGUUAGAGGCUGACUGUGAAGUCUUAGGCAUACUGUAACCCAGUGAUUUACCUAUCUUUGCUUUUCUGCUCAUGCAGAAGAGUGAUAUAUGAUGAAUAAAUUCUAAGUUCAAUUAGGCCUAAAAGAGCUCUUGUAAUAUGCUUUAAAAAGUCUAAGUGAUAAAACAUUGUGACAGAUAGAGUUCUGUCAGUGUUUAUAUUUUCUUAGUCCUUCAUUAAAUAACAGUGUGUCUUACACCAAGGCAGUUUUGGAUUCCAUAAAAUAUGGUAGUAGUUAUGUUUCAUGUUUCAAUAGUCAUCAAUCUGUUUUUAAUGUAUUCAUGGAAAAAUAUGUGGGCCAUCUUGCUAUUUAACUAUUUUUGAAAUCUCAUGGAAGCCUGCCAAUGUUUUUGCAAUUUAGCUAAGAAGCUGUCUUGCUUUUUGAGAGGGGAAGUUCCAAUAUUGUAAGCCUAGGUUUCUGAAUAUAUUUUUGUUUUUUAAUAAAUGUAGAAAGAAUGUUUUUUGUUAAUCCUGGCAUUUGUCUAGAGCAAAAGCAAAAUAAAUGAAAAGUGAGGAAAAUUAAAAGGCUCACGUUAUAACAUGUGCUGUCUAGAGAAUAAAAACUCAUUUGUGCAAAGUUGGUAUGGCUUUUAUGAAAAUAUUUCAGUCCGAGCACCUUGCCUGUUUGCUGCAGUGCUGACUGACUCAUGAUUAGGGAUCUGUGUUGCCUUUAUUGCUCUCGGUUUGCCCUAUGGCUUGAUUUAUUAAUAUAUUUAAAUAUACAAUUUUAACCUUAUCAUUGGUGUGCAGGUGUAUUUAUUUAUACUAUCUUUGCUUUUAGAAAAACACUAUUAUAUCAUAAAAAUAUUUUAACCUUAAAUUACU